rnacentral:rRNA from 1 species
CGCCAGCAGCCGCGGUAAUACGGAGGAUGCAAGCGUUAUCCGGAAUGAUUGGGCGUAAAGCGUCCGCAGGUGGCAAUGUAAGUCUGCUGUUAAAGAGUCAUGCUUAACAUGAUAAAAGCAGUGGAAACUACAUAGCUAGAGUACGUUCGGGGCAGAGGGAAUUCCUGGUGUAGCGGUGAAAUGCGUAGAUAUCAGGAAGAACACCGGUGGCGAAAGCGCUCUGCUAGGCCGUAACUGACACUGAGGGACGAAAGCUAGGGGAGCGAAUGGGAUUAGAUACCCCAGUAGUCCUAGCCGUAAACGAUGGAUACUAGGCGUGGCUUGUAUCGACCCGAGCCGUGCCGUAGCUAACGCGUUAAGUAUCCCGCCUGGGGAGUACGCACGCAAGUGUGAAACUCAAAGGAAUUGACGGGGGCCCGCACA